rnacentral:rRNA from 1 species
UACGUAGGGGGCAAGCGUUGUCCGGAAUCAUUGGGCGUAAAGCGCGCGUAGGCGGCCCGGUAAGUCCGCUCUGAAAGUCCAGGGCUCAACCCUGGAAUGCCGGUGGAAACUGUCGGGCUGGAGUCCGGAAGAGGCGAGUGGAAUUCCUGGUGUAGCGGUGAAAUGCGCAGAUAUCAGGAAGAACACCCGUGGCUAAGGCGGCUCUCUAGUACGGUACUGACGCUGAGACGCGAAAGCGUGGGGAGCGAACAGG